CUUUUAAAAUAUCAAAAGUGAAUGUAAAUGAAAACGUUGAAACACGAAACGUUGACUUUGGCGUUUUAUUUUCUCGGAAGGGGGCGUUUAUUAGGGAGAGGCAUUUAAUACAAAUCUCCGAAAGUUGAGGGAGCGUUUAUUGGAGUGGAGUUUAUUAGAUAGUGGGCGUUUAUUAGAAUGCAUACGGUAUUUUACUUCGCGCUCACUCUUCUAUCUACAUAAUCUAUAACUUGUCGAUUUAACCAGCAUGCAAUCCGUGGCGCCAUCUACUUCAAUUAUCCUCAAUUGUACAUGAUACAAAGUGCCCAUUUACAGUAGAACACAUUUUCUGAAUGAUAUUUUAAGUGACCACAAAUUAUGUUUGUUCAUUUUCUAGUAGUUUUUUCACGUUAACAGCGUACUCUGCACUCUUGUCUGAAUUGAAGCCAGCAAACUGCACGUAGGGAAAAACUGAAGACGAACAUGACGGUGGUAGCUGUGGAACUCUGGGACAGUAUAGGUCAUUGAGGGAUAACCAAACAAGGUCCGGUUUCAAGUCAUUCAAUAUCCUCAUAGCAUCUACAGCAGCCU